rnacentral:rRNA from 1 species
UGUAAGCGUAUACCAAAGUUGUUGCAGUUAAAACGCUCGUAGUCGGAAUUUGGCAGUUCCGGAUGUGUGCACGUCGUGUGCGCACUUCGCGGGGAUUGCUUUUGUGGUCUUGCGUAGGAUGAGGCACUUUUAUUAGUGAACGUCCUCACGCAACCACUUUUUACUGUGAGAAAAUCAGAGUGCUCAAAGCAGGCAUUUGCCGUGAAUGUAUUAGCAUGGAAUAAUAGUAUAGGACUUGGUUCUAUUUUGUUGGUUUGUUGGGACUGAGUAAUGAUUAAGAGGGACAGUUGGGGGCAUUUGUAUUUCGGUGCUAGAGGUGAAAUUCUUAGAUUACCGAAAGACAAACUGCUGCGAAAGCGUCUGCCAAGGAUGUUUUCAUUGA